UAAUGAUAUGACGUACUGUACUGAUUGAGAUUUAACACGAAGUGAGUGGCGAACGGGUGAGUAACACGUGGGUAACCUGCCCAGAAGUAGGGGAUAACACCUGGAAACAGAUGCUAAUACCGUAUAACAGAGAAAACCGCAUGGUUUUCUUUUAAAAGAUGGCUCUGCUAUCACUUCUGGAUGGACCCGCGGCGUAUUAGCUAGUUGGUGAGGUAAAGGCUCACCAAGGCAGUGAUACGUAGCCGACCUGAGAGGGUAAUCGGCCACAUUGGGACUGAGACACGGCCCAGACUCCUACGGGAGGCAGCAGUAGGGAAUCUUCCACAAUGGACGCAAGUCUGAUGGAGCAACGCCGCGUGAGUGAAGAAGGGUUUCGGCUCGUAAAGCUCUGUUGUUAAAGAAGAACGUGGGUAAGAGUAACUGUUUACCCAGUGACGGUAUUUAACCAGAAAGCCACGGCUAACUACGUGCCAGCAGCCGCGGUAAUACGUAGGUGGCAAGCGUUAUCCGGAUUUAUUGGGCGUAAAGCGAGCGCAGGCGGUCUUUUAAGUCUAAUGUGAAAGCCUUCGGCUCAACCGAAGAAGUGCAUUGGAAACUGGGAGACUUGAGUGCAGAAGAGGACAGUGGAACUCCAUGUGUAGCGGUGAAAUGCGUAGAUAUAUGGAAGAACACCAGUGGCGAAGGCGGCUGUCUGGUCUGCAACUGACGCUGAGGCUCGAAAGCAUGGGUAGCGAACAGGAUUAGAUACCCUGGUAGUCCAUGCCGUAAACGAUGAUUACUAAGUGUUGGAGGGUUUCCGCCCUUCAGUGCUGCAGCUAACGCAUUAAGUAAUCCGCCUGGGGAGUACGACCGCAAGGUUGAAACUCAAAAGAAUUGACGGGGGCCCGCACAAGCGGUGGAGCAUGUGGUUUAAUUCGAAGCUACGCGAAGAACCUUACCAGGUCUUGACAUCUUCUGACAGUCUAAGAGAUUAGAGGUUCCCUUCGGGGACAGAAUGACAGGUGGUGCAUGGUGUCGUCAGCUCG
rnacentral:rRNA from 1 species